UUUAAUUCGAUGAUACGCGAGGAACUUACCUGGGCUCAAAUGUAUGUUGACGUAUUCUGAAAGGGAUACUUCUCGGACAAUAUACAAGGUGCUGCAUGGUUGUCGUCAGCUCGUGCCGUGAGGUGUCGGGUUAAGUCCCAUAACGAGCGCAACCCCUAUCAUUAGUUGCCAUCAGGUCAAGCUGGGGACUCUAAUGAAACUGCCUACGCAAGUAGUGAGGAAGGUGGGGAUGACGUCAAAUCAGCACGGCCCUUACGUCCAGGGCUACACACGUGCUACAAUGGCCGAUACAGAGGGCAGCUACCUGGUGACAGGAUGCAAAUCUCCAAAGUCGGUCUCAGUUCGGAUCGGAGUCUGCAACCCGACUCCGUGAAGUUGGAUUCGCUAGUAAUCGCGCAUCAGCCAUGGCGCGGUGAAUACGUUCCCGGGCCUU
rnacentral:rRNA from 1 species